UGAGUCUUUGUGCCAAAACGAAAAAUACAAACACAAAUGAAUGUGCUAGUGUUAGCUAUGGUUUUCUAUUUUCUAUGCAAUUAGAAUAGCCAUGUGAAAUAAUUAAACAGUGACAACAUGUACUCCUCGUACUGUUGCAUAAUAGCUUCCCAUGAAUUUAUUAAUCAAUGUAUAGCUGUUGAAAUAUUCAAUAUGUUGUGCUGGGGCAUUCCACUCUUGUCCCCAGGGUGAACUCCUUUCCUAUUGCUCUGGCUCACUCAGCAUCAGUACUGUUGACAUUUUCAAUGAUACUACAGUUUUAUCUUUGAGAUUUUUUGAAGAAAAAAUGUUGCAACAAAGACAAAAUACAUCAAACGAGAUGUCCAGCUGUCCACAGAAACAAAGGCCUAUCUUCUGUAAGUGACAUUCAACUAAUUCAAGGCUGCCAGAACUUCUUCCAUGCUCUACCAAACCUGAAAGUGGCACAAUCACUACGGAGUCCUGCAGCACUAACUGACAAGUGUUUUUCAGAACAAAGAUGAAUACUUCCAUAAAUUUAAAAACCAAGCAAGAAAGGUCUUUGCCCAGAGCGCCAAAUACCAAAGGCAUGAUGUGUAACACCACCUUUCCUGUUGGGCUGAUUUCUCCUGUUCCACAGCAGCGCCCAAGAAGUCCUGUGCCUGUAGUAAUUUGGUCUGCAAGAGGAGUCUGUAAGACAAAAUUGAAUGGAAAGUGCUGUAUUCUUUUUACAAUUAAUUCAUGCAAUUUUCAAAUUGACUUUCAAAAAAGCACCAGACACACCCGAGGAAAUAAACCAAUGAUGUGAAUUGCUGCCUGAAACCAUUAUAUAGAGGACAGCAGUGGAUAUGACCUGCACGCACGACUGCUGAUUUAUGCUGUGCUGACUCUGAGGAACUACACUGCCAGCAAGACAAUUUCUCAUGAUUACAGUGUUCACAAGUCUCACUGAGUCCAGAAGUCCUUGUUUUGAAUACAAGAAGAAAAACUAU
ensembl:lncRNA